rnacentral:rRNA from 1 species
GACGGAGGGUGCUAGCGUUGUUCGGAAUCACUGGGCGUAAAGGGCGCGUAGGCGGCCUGGAAAGUCAGAUGUGAAAGCCCGGGGCUCAACCCCGGAAUUGCAUUUGAGACUCCCUGGCUGGAGGUCGAGAGAGGAGAGUGGAAUACCCAGUGUAGAGGUGAAAUUCGUAGAUAUUGGGUGGAACACCAGUGGCGAAAGCGGCUCUCGGGCUCGAAUCUGACGCUGAGGCGCGAAAGCGUGGGGAGCAAACAGG